rnacentral:misc_RNA from 1 species
GAGAAAAGCAGAAAUACUCAUUGACUGAAAUAGUAAUAAAUAAUAAUGAACAAGCAGCAGAAAACUUACUAUAGCAAAUAUAUUCUCUUACAAAGUAAAUAAUUGAAACUGAAAUGUUGAAGAAAAGAAGAUUGGGUCUCUGUCUAUUGUAAAACUAGCAAUAUUCUUACUUUACAACUUGGUUCAAAAAACUGAACAUAAUGCCACAAAAGUGGGAGAGUUCCAAAAUAAGUUAACCUCAUCCACUUAAAAAAACAUAGUUUUAUUUAAAAAUAUCCUACCACCAAGGAGUUUAGAAAUAUUUACCCAAACUCAUGUAAGUGCUAAAAGUGCAGCGAAGUGAAGAAUUAAAAUUAAAAUUGUUCUCUCUCCAUAUUUCCAGGAAUCAUAGACAAGAUUUGAAUUAAGAUCCAAAACACCAAAAUGGCCCUUUCCCAACAAGAAUUCGUACGGCUUUCAAUCUUAGAAAGGGCUAUCCUUCCUCUCCACACCCAAUCAAAAGCAAAACAAAACCAAACACACUUCCAGAAAGCAACUUCCUGCCCUCUAGAUUAAAGAUCUUAAGCUAGAUUCAACAAACAAAAAUAAAUAAAAUACUAAAAUCGAAGAAACGAAGCCCCUAUUUCGUUCAAAUCUAUCAUGGAAUUCAUUUGCAAAUGAAAAGAAUGUCUUAUUCAUUGCUUCCAAAAUCAGAACAGUGUCAAAAGAAAAACGUUAACAAUCAUCUACUCAUUAUGAAAAAAUAGAAUUACAAGUAUGUUCUGACUGCAAGUGGGAGACUGAUGCUUCAUGCCUAUUGACAUUUCAAGUUAAAG